GACGAACGCUGGCGGCGUGCUUAACACAUGCAAGUCGAACGGAAAGGCCCUGCUUUUGUGGGGUUCUCGAGUGGCGAACGGGUGAGUAACACGUGAGUAACCUGCCCUUGACUUUGGGAUAACUUCAGGAAACUGGGGCUCAUACCGGAUAGGAUCUCUUGCUCCGUGUGGGGGGUUGGAAAUUUUCGGCGUUUGGGUCUGGUCUCGCGGCUUACCCGCUGCUUUGUGGGGUAGGGACAGACCAGGGCUUGGACGGGUAGCCGGCCUAGGAGGGUGACCGGCCACAUUGGGACUGAGAUACGGACCAGACUCCUACGGGAGGCAGCAGUGGGGAAUAUUGCACAAUGGGCGGAAGCCUGAUGCAGAAACGCCGCGUGCGGGAUGACGGCCUUCGGGUUGUAAACCGCUUUCGCCUGUGACGAAGCGUGAGUGACGGUAAUGGGUAAAGAAGCACCGGCUAACUACGUG
rnacentral:rRNA from 1 species